CUGGGAUUGAGACCAUCAAUAAAAAUUCCAAUUCUAAUCAGAGAAAAAGUAUGGAAGUGUAAUAAUUUUUAAAAAGAUUGAAAAUUUCAGUACAAAUCCUAGUAGAUCAACAAAAACCCUCAAUCACAGGUUUCAGUUACACAAUCAAAAAGUAAAUGGGAAAGAAAAGUUUAGGUUCAGUAGUCACUACCCCAAAAGAGGAGUCUUGAAAUCAGCAGU
rnacentral:misc_RNA from 1 species